rnacentral:rRNA from 1 species
GGUGAGGAUCCACCUCUUCCCAUUCCGAACAGAGCAGUUAAGCUCACCAUCGCCGAUGGUACUGACCCACCAGUUGGGAGAGUAGGUAGCCGCCGUUU